AUCUCAGGCUGUCUCCAACAAGAACUGUAAAUGAUUAUGUAGUCUAAAUAUAGAGGACAUAGACGUCCGAUGUGACUACAACAAAAUCCGCUAAAUCGUUCGCUAAAAUUUCUCGUCCAGCAAACCUGGGGGACUGGUAGAAGAAGACGUGGAGUCGCCGAGCCGACGCAGCUUCGCCACCAACUCCGCGACGUUCGACGCUGGCCACCGCCGUGCGCAGGGCAGCGACCUUCCUCCUGCGCUCCUUCUCCGGCGAACGUACUCCUGCGCUCUCUCUCCGACGAGCCAUGCCGCUCGGCAACCGAUAUCAAGACAGCAGCUCCCCUGUUCGACGAAAUGUCUCUAAAGCAAAAUAGAGAGAUCAACUAUGUUUUUUUUUUGUCCAAUAAGAAUUUCUUUUACAAAACAUACUUAGAUAGCAAUUUCUUCAGAAAGAAAGAUUACUAAAUUCGAUUACAUAAUGUAAUUAUUUUCAUCCGUCCA